GUGCCCGCUUCGGCAGCACCUAUACUAAAAUUGGAACGAUACAGAGAAGAUUAGCAUGGCCCUGUGCAACAUCUUCUGAGAUGGUAAAUGGAAAACAAAACCAACACUGU